rnacentral:lncRNA from 1 species
GACUAGAGGUCAGGGGCUAGAGGUCAGGGACUAGAGGUCAGGGACUAGAGGUCAGGGGUUGAAGGUGCUGAAUUCCUCUCCCUGUACUCCAGACAGAUACCAUCAUUCUAAACAACUAUAAAUCACUAGUCAUCAAUUAUUUACCAGGAAUCAAUACAGCUAUCAGUUCCCCCUCCUUUAUGUCUGUCAACAACUGUGUGACUAUCAUUUACAACAACACCCACACAUAAAUAUAUAUCUAUAUGAUUACAACACCCACACAUAAAUAUAUAUCUAUAUGAUUACAACAACACCCACACAUAAAUAUAUAUCUAUAUGAUUACAGCAACACCCACACAUAAAUAUAUAUCUAUAUGAUUACAGCAACACCCACACAUAAAUAUAUAUCUAUAUGAUUACAACAACACCCACACAUAAAUAUAUAUCUAUAUGAUUACAACAACACCCACACAUAAAUAUAUAUCUAUAUGAUUACAGCAACACCCACAGAUAAAUAUAUAUCUAUAUGAUUACAGCAACACCCACACAUAAAUAUACAUCUAUAUGAUUACAGCAACACCCACACAUAAAUAUAUAUCUAUAUGAUUACAACAACACCCACACAUAAAUAUAUAUCUAUAUGAUUACAACAACACCCACACAUAAACAUAUAUCUAUAUGAUUACAACAAC